rnacentral:tRNA from 3 species
GGAAGGUUGUCCGAGCGGCCGAAGGAACUGGUCUUGAAAACCAGCAGGCGAAAGCCUCAAGGGUUCGAAUCCCUUACCUUCCGCCA